AGUCGAGGGGCAGCAUGGUCUUAGCUUGCUAAGGCCGAUGGCGACCGGCGCACGGGUGAGUAACACGUAUCCAACCUGCCGUCUACUCUUGGACAGCCUUCUGAAAGGAAGAUUAAUACAAGAUGGCAUCAUGAGUCCGCAUGUUCACAUGAUUAAAGGUAUUCUGGUAGACGAUGGGGAUGCGUUCCAUUAGAUAGUAGGCGGGGUAACGGCCCACCUAGUCUUCGAUGGAUAGGGGUUCUGAGAGGAAGGUCCCCCACAUUGGAACUGAGACACGGUCCAAACUCCUACGGGAGGCAGCAGUGAGGAAUAUUGGUCAAUGGGCGCAGGCCUGAACCAGCCAAGUAGCGUGAAGGAUGACUGCCCUAUGGGUUGUAAACUUCUUUUAUAAAGGAAUAAAGUCGGGUAUGUAUACCCGUUUGCAUGUACUUUAUGAAUAAGGAUCGGCUAACUCCGUGCCAGCAGCCGCGGUAAUACGGAGGAUCCGAGCGUUAUCCGGAUUUAUUGGGUUUAAAGGGAGCGUAGAUGGAUGUUUAAGUCAGUUGUGAAAGUUUGCGGCUCAACCGUAAAAUUGCAGUUGAUACUGGAUAUCUUGAGUGCAGUUGAGGCAGGCGGAAUUCGUGGUGUAGCGGUGAAAUGCUUAGAUAUCACGAAGAACUCCGAUUGCGAAGGCAGCCUGCUAAGCUGCAACUGACAUUGA
rnacentral:rRNA from 1 species